UUUUGUUUUUUUCUUUUUUGCUUUUUUUUUUCUUUUUUUUUAGCAGGAUCAACCGCGAUUCCUCUCUUACAAUGAACCCCAGCAGCUUACCGGCCCGCACUCUGAUAGUGCACUUAUCUGAAUUCAACCUCCGUUUGAAUUGUCUCAACUGGUCCACUCAGCUUGGCCAGAUCUACCAGAUGCCCCUCUUCUGUUUGGGACUUUGCUAUCAUGUCAUCAACAUAGCAUUCAAU
rnacentral:lncRNA from 1 species